AAUAUUGGACAAUAGGCGAACUCCUUAUCCAGCCAUGCCGCGUGUGUGAAAAAAGUCUUUUGUUUUUAAAGCUCUUUUAGUUGGGAGGAAGGGCAGUAAGUUAAUACUUUGCUGUUUUGACGUUACCGACAUAAUACGCUCCGGCUACUUUCGUUCCAGCAGCCGCGGUAAUACGACGGGUGCAAGCGUUAAUCGGAAUUACUGGGCGUAAAGCGCGCGUAGGUGGUUCGUUAAGUUGGAAGUGAAAGCCCCGGGCUCAACCUGGGAACUGCUUUCAAAACUGGCAAGCUAGAGUAUGGCAGAGGGUGGUGGAAUUUCCUGUGUAGAGGUGAAAUGCGUAGAUAUAGGAAGGAACACCAGUGGCGAAGGCGACCACCUGGGCUAAUACUGACACUGAGGUGCGAAAGCGUGGGGAGCAAACAGG
rnacentral:rRNA from 1 species